CCGGCUCCCCCAAGCGUCCUCCAGACCCUGAAGUUCUCUCUGAAUUCCCUCCCCUGACCCAAAACUGCCCCAAAUGUGCCCCAGAAAUGUCUCCAUAGACCCCAAAGAAAUAAAAAUUGGACUAAUUAGCAUAAAGUGGGAGAAAUAGUGGUCAAUUCAUUAUCGAAGAGAAUUUUGUUACUUAGAACCAAUGAGCAAUAAUUGUUUAGUUGCUAAAAAGUUAUGAAUUCUUUUAUGGAAAUAUAAAAUUUGGUAGUGAAAACAUUGAAUAAUAUAAUUAUUAAAUACAUAUAUAUAGGUUUAUUAAAUAAUUAUAUUUUAGUUGUAAAUAAAAAAUAAUAAAUAUUUCCAGUGUUUCAAAAGUUCAAGUCCCUUUUAUUCCUUUCUAGUGUUUUGUAAAGUGGUGUUCCUAACAUAUUAGUCCGGGAUCUCAGUAUAACAAAGAAGGAGGGCUGUAUAAUUCCUAAGAUCCAAAAAGCGUCGGAUUCUUUCCCACCUGCGUUGUUCUGCGUCCGGAUUUAAUGGAGUUCCUGUCAGCAGCCAAUCCAGAAUGCCUGUUUUCUCUAAUGGAUUAAAGUUAGUUGCAAUCAUAAAGCACAAACUCUUUACUGAUUAAUUAUCAGGAGAAAUCUUAUUGUAUCCACAUCACACUUGUAUUACUCUCUGUUGCUCUUGCAGUGUCCUUAAAGCCACCAUUCAUUCUGAGCAGU
rnacentral:lncRNA from 1 species